rnacentral:rRNA from 1 species
UGGGGAAUAUUGCGCAAUGGGGGAAACCCUGACGCAGCGACGCCGCGUGUGGGAUGAAGGUCUUCGGAUUGUAAACUACUGUCGCGAGGGACGAAGCUCUGACGGUACCUCGAAAGGAAGCACCGGCUAACUCUGUGCCAGCAGCCGCGGUAAUACAGAGGGUGCGAGCGUUGUCCGGAAUCACUGGGCGUAAAGGGCGCGUAGGCGGCCCGGUAAGUAGGGGGUGAAAUCUCAUGGCUCAACUGUGAGGCUGCCUUCUAGACUGCCAGGCUUGAGCACAGUAGAGGCGAGUGGAAUUCCCGGUGUAGCGGUGGAAUGCGUAGAGAUCGGGAAGAACAUCGGUGGCGAAGGCGGCUCGCUGGGCUGUUGCUGACGCUGAGGCGCGAAAGCGUGGGGAGCAAACAGGAUUAGAUACCCCUGUAGUCCCUGAGCGGGCUGGCAAGGCGCAU